rnacentral:sRNA from 1 species
UGGGGUCGUACCUGGAGGGAAGAUCCU